UACGUAGGGCGCAAGCGUUGUCCGGAAUUAUUGGGCGUAAAGAGCCCGUAGGCGGCUUGUCACGUCGGGUGUGAAAGCCCGGGGCUUAACCCCGGGUCUGCAUUCGAUACGGGCUAGCUAGAGUGUGGUAGGGGAGAUCGGAAUUCCUGGUGUAGCGGUGAAAUGCGCAGAUAUCAGGAGGAACACCGGUGGCGAAGGCGGCAUCCUGGACCAACAUUGACGCUGAGGAGCGAAAGCUAGGGGAGCAAACGGG
rnacentral:rRNA from 1 species